rnacentral:lncRNA from 1 species
UGUGUAUCUGUGUGUUUUUGGUAUAAUCCAUAGCAUGCUAUGAACUGGAGAACUUUUAAGUUAAUUCUGAAGAUUCAGAAUUACCCCUGGUAAAGUGACUGGCAUUCACCUAGCAAAGGUGCUGCCUAACCCUGGAGGUGCUUGAAGAUCAGACUUGACUGAGAAGCCAAAAUUUGACAAGAAGAGACCUGAAGCAGAAAGGCCUGUGGCUUCUGCAGCUGCUCCUUUUCUCUGGAGUUUCUGGCUCAUUCUUCUCUUUUCAGUCUUUCCCCAAGGUGAUAAUUUUGUGCAGCAGAUUGAAGCCCUGCCCUGCCCUGAAUGGAAUCUACCUACGUCUAUUGGGCUGAACUCCAGCAACUCACAGUUGAAAUCAAGAUUGCACUGCUGGGAUGCCCAGAAAAGCUGUGGAUGCCCCAUCCCAUGAGGUUUUCAAGGCCAAGCUGGAUGGGGCUUUGAGCAACCUGGUCUGGUGGGAGGUGUCCCUGCCCAUGGUGAUUCCAUGAUGAACAUCUACAAGGACAAAAACUGUGUGUUUACACUCUUGGACAGAUAUGAUCUUCAGGGAGACAGGAACAUAACCACUAUCUACAGACUGUAUUAAGAUGUUAGACAAUUUUGUGACAAAAUGUUUUUUCUGUACAGACUAUAAGUCAUGCUGGUUUUGAUGUAGCUUUAAAGUGUCUCGUAAGAGAAAUUAGUGCCAUGUCCAAGUGUUUAAAUGCAUCAGAAUAUAUCCUGCUUGAACUGAGGUUAUUAAAAACAAAAUGGGAAAAAGUCCUGGUGAUUAUUAAGCACUGGUGGCCAAUCAGAAAUUAGCAUCAUAUAGUUAUAAGAUUCCAGGAAUUUGCAUUCUAGAAAAAAAGUUAGUUAAUUUUACAGACAGCAUUUUCUUGUGUUCUUUAAGACAGUGACUUGGCAGUUAUAAGGAUAUAGAACCUGGUACAAAUACAGUGUUCUCAAACCACUGCUUAGCUCAUCAGUAGUAUUCUCAUAAUUGCUGAUGUCAUUUCAAACUCAUGCCACAGUUGUGUGUGUUUUUUUUUUUUAAUUUUACAGAGCGUUCAUAUAUCGUACAAAAUACCAUACAAUUUAUAGCAUACUAUUGUGUAAGACAUAAGUGCAAGCAUAACUAGAACUAAUUGUUCUAAUAAUAAAAAAAGAAAAUAAUUUUCCA